rnacentral:lncRNA from 1 species
GGGGGGUCCCCAUUUUGGGGUCUCGGCAAUUUGGGGGGGGGGGGGCUCUGUCUGUGGAGUGUCUGCUGGGAGAUUUCAGCUCCGGGGGUCUCCAUUUGGGGUCUCUGUUUUGGGGUCUCCGUUUUUGGGACCGCGGUUUGGGGUCUCCGUUUUGGGUUUCAGUUUUGGGGUCUCGGUUUUGGGAACCGCAGUUUGGGGUCUCGGUUUUGGGGUCUCACUUUGGGGUCCUGAGUUUUUAGGAACUCCCUUUGGGGUCUCAACUUUUGGGGUCUCAGUUUUGGGGUCUCAGUUUUGGGGUCUCCGUUUUGGAUAUCAAUUUGGGGGUCUCACUUUGGAGCCUCCGUUUUUGGGACCGCAGUUUGGGGUCUCAGAUUUUGGGUCUCAGAUUUGGGCUCUCAUUUUGGGGUCUCAAUUUUCGGACUCUCAUUUUGGGGUCUCAGAUUUGGGCUCUCAUUUUGGGGUCUCAGAUUUUGGGGUCUCAGAUUUGGGCUCUCAUUUUGGGGUCUUGGUUUGGGCUGUCAGAUUUUGGGGUCUCCAUUUUUGGGGUCUCAUUUUGGGCUCUCGGUUUGGGGUCUCCAUUUUUGGGCUCUCAUUUUGUGGUCUCAGAUUUUGGGGUCUCAUUUUGGGCUCUCAUUUUGGGGUCUCCAUUUUUGGGGUCUCAUUUUGGGCUCUCAGAUUUUGGGGUCUCAUUUUGGGGUCUCCGUUUUUGGACUCUCAUUUUGGGGUCUCAGUUUGGGCUCUCAUUUUGGGGUCUCCAUUUUCGGACUCUCAUUUUGGGGUCUCAGAUUUGGGCUCUCAUUUUGGGGUCUCAGUUUGGGCUCUCAGAUUUGGACUCAUUUUGGGAUCUCCACUUUGGGCUCUCAUUUUGGGGUCUCAGAUUUUGGGGUCUCAUUUUGUGGUCUCAGAUUUUGGGGUCUCAGAUUUGGGCUCUCAUUUUGGGGUCUCAGAUUUUGGGGUCUCGGUUUGGGCUCUCAUUUUGGAGUCUCCAUUUUUGGGACCACAGUUUGGGGUCUCAGAUUUGGACUCUCAGAUUUUGGGCUCUCAUUUUGGGGUCUCAGAUUUUGGGGUCUCAGUUUGGGCUCUCAUUUUGGGGUCUCUCGGAUUUGGGCUCUCGUUUUGGGGUCCCCAUUUUCGGACUCUCAUUUUGGGGUCUCAGAUUUGGGCUCUCAUUUUGGGGUCUCCAUUUUUGGGGUCUCAUUUUGGGCUCUCAGAUUUUGGGGUCUCAUUUUGGGGUCUCGGUUUUGGACUCAUUUUGGGCUCUCAGAUUUUGGGGUCUCGGUUUGGGCUCUCAUUUUGGGCUCUCAUUUUGUGGUCUCAGAUUUGGGGCUCUCGUUUUGGGGUCUCCAUUUUUGGGGUCUCAUUUUGGGCUCUCAGAUUUUGGGGUCUCAUUUUGGGGUCUCAUUUUGGGGUCUCGGUUUUGGACUCUCAUUUUGGGCUCUCAGAUUUGGGCUCUCAUUUUGGGGUCUCAUUUUGGGGUCUCAGAUUUGGGCUCUCAAUUUGGGCUCUCAUUUUGGGGUCUCAGAUUUGGGCUCUCAGUUUGGGGUCUCCAUUUGGGCUCUCAGAUUUUGGGGUCUCAGAUUUGGGCUCAUUUUGGGGUCUCCAGUUUCGGGUCUCAUUUUGGGGUCUCAUUUUCGGCUCUCAUUUUGUGGUCUCAGAUUUGGGGCUCUCAUUUUGGGGGCUCUCAUUUUGGGGUCUCAGAUUUGGGCUCAUUUUGGGGUCUCAGAUUUUGGGCUCUCAGAUUUGGGGUCAUUUUGGGGCUCUCAUUUUGGGGG